CCUCAAAGUGGACAAGUGGACUCAAACCAUGCCAGGAAAAUGCCCACCACAGCAUAACAACACUACAAUUGAUGCCUCUCAUUCACCAGAGCGGUUAGGUGUCUUGCACAGGGACACUUGGACACGCCCAGAGCGGGGAUCGAACCGGCAACCCUCCGACUGCCAGACAACCGCUCUUACCUCCUGAGCUAUGUUGCCCCUAGUCCAUAUUUCUAUAGACCAGUGAUUAUGGUUUUUGCACCACUAAACUCUGUAUGGAAGCAUCUGCAUUCAUUAUGUUUUUUCACUCAUUUAUUCAGGAUUUACUUCAAUUUGUCACCCGUCUGUAUGUUUUACUAUGAAUCUUGCCUGGUUUAUAUUCAGUAAUAUGCUUUAAGCUAAAUUUAUAUAUUAUUCUGAAGAAAGCCACAUACGAUUGUUCUACUUCAUCUACAUUAUCCUUAUAUUUUCUUAAAGUAAAUUUAAUAUAGUAUGAGUAUGUUGUAAAUAUGAAGCUUAAAUGUGUGCUUUGCAAUUUUUGCAUGUCUUCUACCGUAAGAAUUUGGUGGCAGGGAGGAAAACAAGUUUCUGACUCCAUUUACUUCAGAAUCUGUAACGUGGAUGUUUGUGUGAAUACAGGUUCAUGUGUACGUGCAUUGACUAGAGUGUGCUGAAAUAAUGGGCGGCAAGAUUUUUUUAUCCUAGAGAGCAAGACUAUCUACUGCUUCCAGGCAUUCAUCUAGUUGAUCUUUGACACUAAGUCCUUCUAUCCUACCAGGGUAACAAAACUAACAGCUGAAUCAGGGAACCGUAACUAAGGAUACUCCAUCUGGCAGGCUGCAAUCGCUGUCGUCUUAUCCACCUGGGGAAGCACCUGCGCACUCCCCAAUUGGUACCCCAGAUACCGUACCUCCCUCUAUCCAACUGCACACUUUUUUGGGUUGGCGGUGGCCAGGUGGACAACAUGUCUCAUCAAGGAGAUGAUGUUCAAGCAGAACCAUCAACAAACACAGAUGGAACCAAGCCUGGAUCUGCGAUAUUAGACGGAAAGUUCUUCAGCAUCAUCUCUCAAACACCAAAUGGGAAGGUCCAUGCAGAGUGUCAACUGUGCACCAAAAAGAAAGUAAUAAUAUCUGGAACUCUGGCAACUACAUCAAAUUUCAAAAUUCACCCGAAGAGACUGCACCC